ACGGGAGGCAGCAGUGAGGAAUAUUGGUCAAUGGUCGGAAGACUGAACCAGCCAAGUCGUGUGCAGGAAGACGGUCCUAUGGAUUGUAAACUGCUUUUGUACGGGAAUAAAGUGCGGGACGUGUCCCGUUUGGAAUGUACCGUAAGAAUAAGGGUCGGCUAACUCCGUGCCAGCAGCCGCGGUAAUACGGUGGACCCGAGCGUUAUCCGGAUUUAUUGGGUUUAAAGGGUGCGCAGGCGGAGGAUUAAGUCAGCGGUGAAAGUCUCAUGCUCAUCAUGAGAACUGCCAUUGAUACUGGACCCCUUGAGAGAUGUAGAGGAUGGCGGAAUGUGAUGUGUAGCGGUGAAAUGCUUAGAUAUGUCACAGAACACCGAUUGCGAAGGCAGCUGUCCAGAGAUCAUCUGACGCUCAGGCACGAAAGCAUGGGUAUCAAACAGGAUUAGAUACA
rnacentral:rRNA from 1 species